rnacentral:tRNA from 1 species
GGUGUAUAGCUCAGUGGUAGAGCACUUGCUUAGCAUACAGGAAGCCCUGGUUUCAGUCCCCAGCACCA